CCUGCCCCUAGAGGCGUUGCAGAUGUGGCUGCUGUGUCACAGCUGCGUCAGUAGUGGGCAGAGAGCAAGAGGCUAUGUCUACGCUCAGUGUUCUGACUCGUGAACAUUUGAAUGAUUAGUAGCCUCACACU
rnacentral:snoRNA from 12 species